CAAUGUGUGUCCAUUUCUCUCACUGCUAUCUGUGGUCUCAGGAAGAAGACCAUUUAGAGCGGGCUCUACUUACUCAAACAUGAACAUUUACUGCUCUCUCAAAUACACCUUUGCAUUUGUAUUUGUGGAUGUUUUACAGCCUACUGUUAGUGGGUUGAGCACUCAUAACAUAAUAUUCCCUUACUCCAUAGCCUAGGCAGCUAUGCUAUAUUGUAAGAAACGCGCUCAUGUGUGUUGAUCGGCAGACCUAGACAAUUGCUGUUUGCAUUGUAGGGAAGGAAAGUCGAUACCUCACUGUCCAUGACAACUUGCCAUUCAUCUGCGGCUCACACGCACACACGUACACUAGACGCACGCACGCCAACACGCACGCGCACACCCAGAGUGGAGUUCCUCGAACCGCAUCGGGCUAAUCUCCACUGGAGGGCGAGUGGUACAACAGGACCGGGUUUGUUGGAAGGGAGGGAUAAAGAGAGACAAGGGAAGAGAGAGAGAGAGAGAGAGAGUGAGUGUGUGAGAGGGACAGAGAGAGGGCGGGAGAUACAGCAGCUGGAAGCAAGAGAGAAAAUCCCAGCCCAGCAAGCAUCAUUUUUCACAUCGGAUUUAAUCCGUUCUCGUCGACCACCAAUUCACAACGUGGUCCAGUGGUGUCCUCCGCUCUCCAGUGUGCUGUCCUCCUCUUCCCAGUUCACUGCCCCUCUGUCUGUCUGGUGUGAGCAGCCAUGA
rnacentral:lncRNA from 13 species